rnacentral:lncRNA from 1 species
CUUCAGCCUUCCAAGUAGCUGGGAUUACAGGCAUGCGCCACCAUGGUUGGCUAAUUUUGUAUUUUUAGUAGAGACAGAGUUUCUCUCUGUUGGUCUGGCUGGCCUCAAAUUCCCAACCUCAGGUGAUCUGCCCGCCUCCGCCUCCCAAAGUGCUGGGAUUACAGGCAUGAGCCACCACGCAGGGCCAGAAUUCAGGUUUUAACCAAUGUUCUGGAUGUAAAUGGUACACAGAAUCUGCGUAUUGGGGGUGGGGAGGGGCACAACCCCCUAAGAGUCUCUCUUGCUCCUGGACGGCAUGAUGGGAAGUGACCUGUUCCACUUGUCGAGAACUAGUGGACCCCAUGUUUCCCUCUAGCUUGGACACUAUGGUUCUCAGGAGGAAUCCUCACCCCCGGCCAGGAGCCCUUCUCCUCCACCUACUACUGCUGGGCUCUACCUCCCCCACUUUUAAUUUUAAGCCUUGGCUCAAAAUUCACUCCCCAAUAUUUCUCCCCUUCUCUCUACUUUCGUCCUCAAUAAUCCCAAGCAGCUGGGGUGUACAAGUCGUUUUCACCUCUUGGGACCGUGCUAAAGGGGGCAGCCUAUGAUUACCAUGAGGGUAUGGGAGCCCUGAACUGCAAAUCUAUCAUUUCCAGAGAAGCCAGAAAUCUGAAAUUUUCUGUGCAAUUUCUGAAACUUUAAAUCAGAAUUUUUUCUAAAAUUCAAUGGGUCAGAUACCACAGUCUGUGUAAUCAAUCCAUUCCAAAGUCUCCUCCUUUUGCUAAAGGAGAAGAUUCCUUAAAACAAGGCAGAAGCCAACUGAAGCAAGGGAGAACCACCUCCCACCCCUCCCCACACACACUUUCCACACCCAGUAACUAGGUCUCUGGGCGGAUAAUUCUGUUUUGUUUUGUUUUUUUUAAUUUUGGACAGCUAAUCUCUGUAGUGAGGAACCCAGAACUUUCGGUAAUGUAAGGGAUAUUAGUCUGGUUGUCAGAAAAAUGGGCUGGAGUAUUUGUGCUGUGUCCCUGACCAUAAUUCCUGCUCAGUUGCUUAGCUCCCUGGCAACUAUGUCUGAGGGCUAAACAGGAGUUGGUGUGAUCUUCCAGAAAAAGAACAGGCUUCUUGUCUUGCAGAGGCAGGAAGUCAGAAAACAAGAGUGUGUGUGUGUGUGUCAGGGGGUGGGGGGUGUCAGAUCUCUACAAAAAAAUAUAGAAAUUAGCCAGGCGUGGUGGCGCAUGCCUGUAACGCCACCUACUCAGGAGGCUGAGACAGAACUGCUUGAACCCAGGAGGCUGAGGUUGCAGUGAGCCAGGAUCUUGGCCACUGCUCUCCAGCCUGGGUGACAGAGUGAGCCUGUCUCAAAAAAAAAAAAAAAAAGAGUGAGCAAUCCUCAAAGUAUCCAAGAACAACUACACGCCCCAAGGGGAAAACCAGCUGGAUUGCUUAGGCCUUGGCUGUAGUCACUAAAGAAUGGCAUCAAUCUCAGAAACCCUCAAGAUGGGGUCAAUUUAGGAAGAAGCUGUUUAUUCUGUACUGUCUUUGGCCUCCACCUAAGGUCUGGCAUCGACCCACCCUUCAGGCUCAUAGUUCAGCGAGGUUAGAGCACUUAGGGAGAAGCAGGUAACACAUCCAGGGUUUGAGAGAAGACCAGCACACAACUCUCAGUGAUCUGGAUAGAGGAAGACUAAAUUACUGUGGUUCAGGCAGCCUUGCCAGGUGAUGUCUUCCCAAAACUUCUCAGAUGUAUAUUCCUCCCUGAUUGUGCCACCUAGGCCUCCUUCCCUUCAGUUUGGGACUUAAAACUUCCACCAAUAACGUGAGUAUGUGCACCCAUGCAGCAGCCUGUCCGAGGACUCACAACUGGAGACACCUCCCUGCUUGGCGCUGCCCAGAAAACUAUGUAGAUGGCCAAGAAACCGACUUCCAUUAUAAAAUGUUUUUCUGUGUGUACCAGGAAAAAGAUGCUCAAAAUCCAAAUCACCACUUUAUUAUGUGGCAGUCACCAUGGUGCCAGCCUCUGCCUUCCCCAUGUCACCCUCCUAAUCCAGGGCUCUCCAACCAUAUUCAUGUUUGCGUUUUCACAAGUCAAUGUCCAUUAAGGCCUUGUGCUCCCCUUUUCUUCAGUACAGGGCAGGGCCCUUAUAAUUUGGGUCUCAAGAAUUGAUAGUUGUCUCUUAACUGGUUCUGGUGAGGCGCACUCACAGCAGUGAGUGGAGGGUCCUGGGAGGGCAUGGAUGACGGAGGCUGCCCCUAGAGGAGCUGGAUGUAGGAGCAGAGACAUUUCUUGAUCUUUCACUCUGCAAACUGGUCCAAGAACUUGAGAGGGGAUGACUUUGUCAGUGUCCCCAAAAACAUGGAGCGAAGGCAAUGACAAGGGCCUUUGCAGGAUGGAUUCCUUGAACCCAAUGCCCCGGGGACAGAAACCAGACACCAAGAGGAUAAACCGUGGCAAGGGGAAGCGGGGAUCGCCUGCCUGGCCCAGGGCACACAC